rnacentral:rRNA from 1 species
AUUGAACGCUAGCGGGAUGCUUUACACAUGCAAGUCGAACGAGCGGCGGACGGGUGAGGAAUGUAUGGGGACUGCCCGAUAGAGGGGGAUAACUACUGGAAACGGUAGCUAAUACCGCAUCCUAUCGGAUAACCCAUAUGGGAGUAGCUACUAGGUGAGGUAAUGGCUCACCUAGGCGACGAUCCCUAGCUGGUCUGAGAGGAUGAUCAGCCACACUGGGACUGAGACACGGCCCAGACUCCUACGGAGGCAGCAGUGGGGAAUAUUGCACAAUGGGCGCAAGCCUGAUCCAGCCAUGCCGCGUGUAUGAAGAAGGCCCUAGGGUUGUAAAGUACUUUCAGUCGGGAGGCGUUACCGAAAGAAGAAGCACCGGCUAACUCCGUGCCAGCCGCCGCGGUAAUUC